rnacentral:rRNA from 1 species
ACAUGUUUUUUUGAAAAUAAUUUAAAGUUUAAUCUGCCCACUGAUNAAAUUAUUAAAGGGCUGCAGUAUUUUGACUGUACAAAGGUAGCAUAAUCAUUAGUCUCUUAAUUGGUGACUUGUAUGAAAGAUUGGAUGAAAUAUAUACUGUCUCUAUUUAAUUUAUAAAAUUUAAUUUUUUAGUAAAAAAGCUAAAAUGAAUUUAAAAGACGAGAAGACCCUAUAGAGUUUGAUAAUUUAUUUAAUUAUUAUUAAUAUAUAAAUUUUAAAAUUAAAAUUAAAUAAAUUAUUUUGUUGGGGUGAUAGAAAAAUUAAAUUAACUUUUUUUUUAUUUUAUACAUUAAUUUAUGAAUGAAUGAUCCAUUAAUAAUGAUUAAAAGAAAAAAUUACCUUAGGGAUAACAGCGUAAUUUUUUUUUUUAGUUCAAAUAGGAAAAAAAGUUUGCGACCUCGAUGUUGGAUUAAGAUAAAAUUUAAAUGCAAAAGUUUAAAAUUUUGAUCUGUUCGAUCAUUAAAAUCUUA